rnacentral:rRNA from 1 species
AGGCUUUGAUCCUGGCUCAGGACGAACGCUGGCGGCGUGCCUAACACAUGCAAGUCGAGGGAGAAAGUUCUCCGACUUCGGUCGGAGGGCUGGAAACCGGCGCACGGGUGAGUAACACGUAGGCAACCUACCCUUUGGACGGGGAUAACCUCGGGAAACCGGGGCUAAUACCCGAUGAUGUUCCGAUUCGGCAUCGGAUUGGAAUUAAAUCUCUUCGGGGGCCAGAGGAUGGGCCUGCGGCCCAUUAGCUAGUUGGCGGAGUAAUAGCCCACCAAGGCAACGAUGGGUAGCUGGUCUGAGAGGAUGGUCAGCCACACUGGAACUGAGACACGGUCCAGACUCCUACGGGAGGCAGCAGUGAGGAAUAUUGCGCAAUGCCCGAAAGGGUGACGCAGCGACGCCGCGUGGAGGAUGAAGUUCGUAAGAAUGUAAACUCCUGUUGAGAGGGAAGAAUUACUCCGUUUUCGGGGUUUGACGGUACCUCUUGAGGAAGGCCCGGCGUAA